rnacentral:rRNA from 1 species
GAUGAACGCUGGCGGCGUGCCUAAUACAUGCAAGUCGAGCGAACGGACGAGAAGCUUGCUUCUCUGAUGUUAGCGGCGGACGGGUGAGUAACACGUGGAUAACCUACCUAUAAGACUGGGAUAACUUCGGGAAACCGGAGCUAAUACCGGAUAAUAUUUUGAACCGCAUGGUUCAAAAGUGAAAGACGGUCUUGCUGUCACUUAUAGAUGGAUCCGCGCUGCAUUAGCUAGUUGGUAAGGUAACGGCUUACCAAGGCAACGAUGCAUAGCCGACCUGAGAGGGUGAUCGGCCACACUGGAACUGAGACACGGUCCAGACUCCUACGGGAGGCAGCAGUAGGGAAUCUUCCGCAAUGGGCGAAAGCCUGACGGAGCAACGCCGCGUGAGUGAUGAAGGUCUUCGGAUCGUAAAACUCUGUUAUUAGGGAAGAACAUAUGUGUAAGUAACUGUGCACAUCUUGACGGUACCUAAUCAGAAAGCCACGGCUAACAACGUG